UACGGGGGGGGCAAGCGUUGUUCGGAAUUACUGGGCGUAAAGGGCUCGUAGGUGGCCAACUAAGUCAGACGUGAAAUCCCUCGGCUUAACCGGGGAACUGCGUCUGAUACUGGAUGGCUUGAGUUCGGGAGAGGGAUGCGGAAUUCCAGGUGUAGCGGUGAAAUGCGUAGAUAUAGGAAGGAAUACCAGUGGCGGAAGCGGCCUCCUGGAUCGAUACUGACGCUGAGGCGCGAAAGCGUGGGGAGCAAACAGG
rnacentral:rRNA from 1 species